UCCAUCCUUGACCUCUCAAAGAACUGUUGAUGCCUUGGGAAGGCUGACCUGGAACAGACACUGGACAGUGCUAAGAGAAUAAAGUAGGUAGUUAUUAAAAGACCUUUAAGGAUUCACUUUGGGCAAGACAAGAGCCUGGCCUGGGCUACACCCAAGGUGGACCCAAAAUGGUCACACAAUGGAUGACUGGUCACGAGGUCUCAUACUUUUAUAAGUUUUGAUCCAGUUACAUAUUGGGGUUAGUUGUCCAAUGGCAGCUUGAGAUUAUGAAGUCCCAUCCUUCUUGUUCCUCUCUUCAGUCCACCAUUGUUUGUGCUUUUGGCCCUGAAAACUUGUAACCACUGUCUUUGGUCUCCAUCUGGAAAAGGCUUUGUUUUGGCUACCUACUCUGUUUAGAGAGGUUACUAACACUUAAUUUGAGGUUCAGAACUACACCUCUAGACAGCACAGAAUCUGAAAAACAUGAAAGCUAAAACUUAAGGAAUCACUGCCCUGUUUCACUGCAAAGCAGAGAAGCUCUGGCUCAGGGAGCUGAAAAGAUCCCAACCAUCACACUAUGGUGUCUCAAAUCCCAGUGAUUAGAGCUGAAAUAGGAGAUCCUGGUUCAAAACCCUUGAGUAAUUCAAAUAUCAUUUACCUCUCUCCAGUCUCUUCUGGUUGUCAGACACUCAGCCUUUCUGCAUUGGUUUAAUUUAACACCCAGAUUCAAGGCUGUCAUUCAUUCAGGAAAUAAUCUGUGGGAUCUUAUUUCUCAAAGAAUUUGUGGAGUCUCCCUCACUGGAGAUGUCUAAGAACUGCCUGAACACCCUCCUGUGCCCGGUGCUCUGGGAUGACCCUGCUUGAGCAGGGAGGCUGGACCAGAUGACUCCCUCUGGUCCCUUCCAACCUGACCCAUUCUCUGAUAUAUCAGCAGGGCAUUUUAGGACACAAUACCGUGUAACAGAACUAUUUAUCGUACAAAGGGGAGCCAACGCAAAUCUGCAGGGAUGCAAUCACAUUGCACUACAGCCCCCUUGGUCAUCCAGCAGCAGUCUGCCAGCCUGGGCAUCUCAGCAUCUGCUCCAGCUUGAAAGGAGAUUAUCUAGUGUCAGAGAAAAUGGAUUUAUAGUGACUGAUCCCAUUCAUUUCCUAGAGAACAUGCCAAGUGACUGAAAUAGAAAUGGGGUCAGCAAUUAAUAGGGUAGCUCUCAGUCACUGUCACCGUAUGUUGAUAUGAUGAUGGCUGGUUUAUCUAUUUACCUGAUAAAUAGCUUACUGAAAGUUCUACCAGGACAUGGGUCAAGGAGAGUGGAGACAAAACCCAAGGCAGCUGUACAGACACUGACAUCCUCAUAGAUUUCUUCUCUGGAACUGAAACUUGCAUAAAUAUUUCUCCCGUUUCAGAGAGGGUUUCUUCAUGUCCCUGGGGAAAGUGGAGUGGACGAGUCAAAAUCAGCUGCAGCGUCAGCUGAGCUUUCUGCCCUACCAGGUUCAGCUGGAGACUGCCUGACUUUAUUCCUUACAGAGAUAUCAUAUAUGAUGUAUUUUCUUCAACUGGUAGGAAAACUUUUGAGCACAAGAAACAGAGAUUGAGAAGUGUCUUAAUAAAUGUGCCAUGUCACAAUGGCAGCAGGCCAAGUUGUGGGUUAUGUUGUUGGAGACAUCUUUAGUCCUGCCAUGACAAAGGCUGUUUCAGUUUCUGAUCCUAGUAAUAAGUCCAGCUUUCUCUGCACCUCAUGGAUAAUACCUCUCCAACAGAACUCACAGCACUCUUUUAGAGAGUUGUUAUUCCUUCCUGAGGCAGGAAAUUUCAAGCUUGUCAAAGCACUUUUCUGAGCCAACAAGAGCUACAGUAGAAAAAUUUUGACCAAAACCAGGUUCACAGCUGUCUGAGAGGCUGAAAAAAAGUCACUGUGCAGUUUUUACAACCCCUGGGGAAAAGAUACGUAACUCAGUGUGAGGAAAAGAAAAUGGUCUCUGAGCUGAGUGUGGGAUGGUGAAUCUGCAAGGAGCUGGAGAGCGAUGGCUCCCUCAGCUUUGCAGUCUGCAAACAUUUCACAGUGAGUCUGGCUUAACUGGGUGGCAUUACAGCUUGCCUGGCCCACUAGGGAGCAAAUGUGCUGCUCCCUUCUUCCAGGAUGAUGAAAGAGUGUAAGACAUAAACAGCCACAAUUAUUGUGGGUUUAAAUCUUGGGAACCAGAAGCAAAGGCUCCAUCACCACCCCAAAUUUCUGAGGAGAAGAGACUCAUGUGUCAGGGGGCUGAGUGUCUCAUAGAGCUCACUGAUGUCAAGGAAUGAUGUAUGGGGCAAAUCCUUCUUGGUGAAGAAGGCUGCCUGUAUGCAGUUUUUGGGAUUGGGACACUCUUCUUCAUUAUUUCAGCCUAUAGAGACCUUUGGUAAAACCAUUCAAUCUGAUUAAUCAAACACUUAUGGAUGGCACUGGAAAGAAACUUUCCCAGCUGUGUACAGAUUUUGCAUUUAAACUGCCCUCAUGCUCAUCAAGGCAUAUCCUCGAGGACAGCCACCUAACCUCUGCAUUUCCUAAAAUAAGAUGCCUAUUUUCGAGUAUAAAAAUCUCCCACAAUGCCAAAGCCCAUGUGAAGAGCUGCACACACAGAGCAGCUUUGCUGCCGGGAUGCAGCACCCCAGACACCCUGAUGAGGAUGGUGUGAGGGGCUGGGCGGGCAGCAGCUGGAGCCCUCUGCCGUGGCUGGGUGCAGGGAUGUUCCCACAACACCCAAAGCACGGGGACAACGCUCCUGCAGAAGGGAAACACAGCCCUGUCCUUAUGUCCCUCUACAGAGCACAGCAAAUUUCUCCAUCACCACACCACUCCUGGGACCUAAGGUGGCCCAAGAGACACCAGACAUGGCUCCUUUGCCCUGCUUAUGGCAGAAAGACACGACCCAUGAUUUGGGCUAACUGAAAAGAUGCUCUUUGCCUCAUGUAGGGUGGAAAUCAUUCCACUGCUGCUCAGAAUUGCAGUCUGGAUUACAAAGGCGCCUUCCUUGCUGGCAGCCUUUGCAGUUGCACCAUCAGUGCCAUAGAAUUUAAUUUCCUCCAGAAGCCUCUGAGAAAGUAAAAAUUGUCAGGAUCUUUACUAGAAGUUUCAGCUUCUAUGAUUACUGAGAAUAUCCAUUAAAUGGUAUUAGAACAAGUCUUAAAGCUUCACAGAACUGAAUGCAAAUAAAGACCAAUCCAAAUUUAUUAUUUUUGAAGUCUAAACCCUGUUGAUAAUUUCAGUGGCCCUAGCUCAUGGUUUGUAUAUGUCUUGAUGUGUCAUUACCACUCCUGACAUGAAAUAACCCUACACUGGCUUUGUUUACAGGCAAGGAUUUCCUUCCCUAGUAAAUGAUUGAAAGUAUUCAGUCAAUUAACUCUCCAGAGUUGUUAAUUUAGUAGUUUCCUGAUCACUAACAACCAGUUCUUGAAAAGCAUUAACACCAAACUACUUCAAGAGUGGAAAGUUCUGGUUCAGACCUGUGAAGACCUAACAUCACUUUUCUAAUGCUGCAUUGUUUGAGCCAUAUUCCUUUUCUCUCCAUAGUCUCUUUGCUCUUGGGCAUCUCUCAGAUGGGAGAUAGGGAAGGGAGAUAUGGAAAUCUACUGCUCCAGAAUCAUGUUAACAUGUAUGUUAAGUUGGUCCCUUUGCUGUGCAGAUUGUUGAAGCCUCUGCGAUGUGAUUUGUCUCCUUGAAACAAGGAACCAGCUGUCCCUGGUGUGCAACCACAGACCUGAAGGAUGUUCUGCACCCUGCAGCCCUGCAUGGCUCUUAGUGACUGCUAAACCAUUCUCUUGGUGAGAUGGGAGCCAGAGAAGAGGAAACAGGACAAGCAAGAAGCAAUACUCCUGUGCUGGCAGGACAGUGGGCCAGGAAACUCUCAUCUGUUGGUACUUUUGCAGUGACUUUGGGCAGACUCACUUUCUGGAGCCAGCUCAGCAUGUCUCAGGCUGCAGGCUGUGGAUGUGCUGAGGGUUUAGAGGCAGUGGCACAGCCCCAGGUAGCAGCUCCCAGCACCUCAGUCCCUGCAGUCCCUGCUGCCUGCACUGCUGCCAGCCUGGUGGGAGCUCAAAGGUGCCCUCCUACGUGCUCUGAAUCGUUGCCAUCAGCUGAGUUUCUCCAGGACAGAGAGGUUAUGAAAAAAAGCUUUAAUUACUGGCCACAAACAUUUGCAGUAUUCUUGCCUUGGAGCAACUGAGCUGCAGCCAAAUGGGUGGGACCCAAAGGGAUUAGUACAACACUCAGGCCAGAGCAGGGUUCCUUGAACAUGAGCUUACAGACACACACCAGAAGUUUCUUUCUUGGCAGAUGUAAGGUCUAAAAAAUGUGUCAAGGAGAGCAGGAUGUUCAGUUAGAACUUUAAUAACAAACAGCUGUAAUAAAGCCUGGGCUUCCUACAAGUCAAAAUAAAAUUUGCCACCGAGCUAAGUGGAGCCAGUGCUCCAGCUCACAUAGCUUGGAAAUGCCAGGGUGGAGAGGACCUGGUGAAUUGUCUCCUCCCAGCUGAACUUUGUUUUUCCUUCCAUCACCUUUUCUUCUUCUCCGAUCUCCAUUGGGAUGCCACUGCAUCUUUUCAUAACAGCCUGCAUUUCACAGCAACAAAAAUAUUUCUCCUGAGGUAAUUUGCACCUCCUGCAAGUGGGAGAUUUUCAAAGACUGCCUUCAACUCUGGUUAUUGGACUUCAGAGAACAAACUCAGGAGACAAAUGACCUAUUGAACUUCAGGGUCACUGGCACUCGACAUUUUGGUAAGAAGAGAAGCUGGGGCUCAGGUCAGGCCCUUGUGUAAACCUCAGGUUGAUUACUGAAGUCAAAUCACCCAAAAAUCACAGAAGACUCUUUCCUAUCCCCAUGCAUUUUAUUUUCUUUUUCAUUCCUUUGUUCAUUUUGGAGACAAGCAUUAUAGGAAAACCACAGUAAGCUAUUUCCAGGGCAGCUGUAUGUUUUUUGAUUUGUUGGCAUCCCAGUCAAAUCCUGACUUGCCAAGGGCAUUUAGCACUGUAUCUUGAUCCUGCAUAAGGUCCAAGUUUCACAGCCAUAUUCCCAGCCACCCUCUGGGUGAAGAACUUUUUUGUAAUGUCCAGCAUAAAUCUCCCCUGACACAGCUUCAGGCCAUUCCCUCGGGUCCUGUCACUGGCCACCACAUUAUGGCUUUGAUCUCAGGGUAAUAUACAGUAACAUACUGGUCCAAGUGGGUGAUGGGCAAAUUGGACAGCAAGGCCCAGGGGUCUGUCUGUAAAUAACACCUACAAGGUUGGGUUUGUAUCCCAGGGACAUGGCUUGCAAGCUCUUUGGGGGAUGCUGUUGCUGAGUGGGGGCUGUACCAGCACCCACAACCAUGACCUCAAAGACUGUCCCAACCUCAGCAAGUACCACUAAAGUCACCACUAAAGUCACUACUAAAUCAAUCAAUCAAUCAAUCAAUCAAACACUAUUCUUCAGCCACAGCAUCUCUUCUAUUCUGCCUUUACAAGUCUUCACUCAUACCUCAGACCUGCUGGCUCCUCAUGCUGAGACAGUGCCCAGAUCCUGUGGAUUUGACUUUAGUAGAGAGAACUUUUAGAAGCUGAGAGGGAGCUUAGACAAGAUUGAAGCAAAUCAUGUGUAGGCCAGAUCCUAAAUAUAGUUGGAAUACCACCCUUACUUGGCUAUGGAGUCUUUCCAAACCAAAUUCUUCUUCAAAUGCCUUUUUAGCUGUUGGAAAUUCAGCUUGGGUAUAAACCAAAUUGUUUUUCCAGAUACAUUUCUGGAAGUAGAUGUGAGCAUGCAGAAGAAAAACUAUCCUUGUAGCUGCAUAUUUGAUUCUCUUACAUUCUGGGAACUUGCUGCAUAUGACAAAAGGCAGGAAGUGAGACUACACAGCGGCCUCUGCUAGCAUCUUCCUUUUUGUGAGAUGCUUUUCAAGUCCACACACAACCCAUUCUCUCCCCCAUCCUGCUUGGGUGAAGUGAAGGAACAGCUGUGUGGUGUUUAAUUGACAGCUGGGGCUAAAGCACAACAUGCAGUUUUCAAAUUGCUUCUGCAAUAAUGAUCCAGACACUGCUUUGGAUUACCUGGAGAUACUGGUGGGAGAGCAUGUGUGUCAGGUUUAAGUCUAUUACAGCAAAGUACAAAUAGAUUUUAGUCUUUCCCAAAUCUCAUCCUGUCCCCAGUUGUCAGGUGAAAUGAUAAAGCAAGGAUACCUCCCCAAAGAGAUUCACUUAAAGGCUUAAAAAAACAGCUGAAGCAUGUUGAUUUUUUUUCCUCCGAUCUAAAAAAUUUGGUUUCUAAAUUCUGGAUCAAAUUAUUCUUGGCUUUCUCUCACACAGAUUCAACAACUCCAAUGGGUUUCUCUCAGUCCCCAAACAACUCCAAUGGCACUGAGGAAAGCAGAGUAUUAAGGACAACAUACAAAGCAGCACAAAAAUCUUGACAGUUCUAUUUAAAGUGACUUUAUUAAAACAUCGUUAAUAUAAAAUGUGACCAAAUACAAUUUCGUUUUUGUAAGAAUGUUUAAUAAAAACAUAUUCAAGAAAGGAGGAGCAUCAACUCUUGUCAAAGCACAGGAAAAACCUACCAGGAUAAGUAAAAAGUUCUGCAGCAUGUUCUACCAGCUGGUCCCAAUGUGUAUUAGGGUUGAGUUAGCCGAUGUAAGAGACAGGCAGCCCAGGUUCUUCCCUAAGAAGCUUUAAGGUAUUACCAGAGAUUUAAAGUAACGCUCCUUGACAGUAGGAGACUUUGUUUUCUCCCCAAAUCAGAAUAAGAUUAGAAUGUGCAUCUCCAUUUUGGAUUUACUACUUUUCAGCAGCUGAAUGUACAGAAAAUCAGAUUCACUGGUAACUGUAAACCCCAAGAUUAACAUUUGUUAGCUUUAAAAGGAAGGUGCAACAUUAGUCACUAAUCUAAAGAAUUUGUGUUAAAGUUGUUCUAAGCUGUAUUAACUCUGGAUGCAUGUAGCAAAUGCUACAAAAGAAAAAAACAGCAGUAAAGUCCGGGAUCGUAGCAACAAAUAUUUUCUGAACUGCUGAAUGCAGAGAUAAUAUCCACAAACUACAGAGUUUGUACAUCUCAGGAAGAAUGUAGAGAAGCCUUCAGAAGCUAUAAAAGCUUCUUUUCAGAAACUAUUUUUCUAUAAGUAAGAGUAUCCUAUGCAAUGACUUCUACUUUGUGCCAAUCUUACUGUUUAGCUAAGGAACCUUUUAAGAAAACACUAGAAAAAGUGGAGGUUUUGGCCUUGGUGGUUCUUUUUUUUGUUUGUUUUUUGUCUUUUUUUGGUGGGGUGUGGGAGCAAGAGGGGAGGAUAUGCAUACGGCAUUUUCCUUGCCCAACAAGUACAUUUUAAUGCUCUAUCAGCAUACUCUGCUUGCUCAGAGCAAGCAACACACCGAUUAGAGGCAAGGAUUCCUCCAGGACAUUGCAAACUCUUCCUGUAACAAGCAGAAAAAAUCCUGCCGCAUCCAAUUCUGCACAUCUAACUGCCCCUGGCACUGAACCAAAUGUCAAGUGCUAAUCCAUGAGAAGCCUAGCACAACUAUGGCUUAGGAGAUGGUGACCUUCUUACAGCCUUGGCUGGGACCCAUUGGAGCCCUGUGUUUGCCUUCUACCCCAAACAAAUGCUCUGGGACUAUUGCUGAGGUAAAGGGAAAAGUCAAACCUUUGGCAUUGGAGCAGACCAGUCACUGGCUGUGCGUAGGGGAAUUAAGGCUUCAAGGUGAGGUAAACACAGUGAGAAUCAGUGUGUAAAUCAUGCUGCAUUUUAGAGACAACAGAUCCAAACGACAGCUACUCUUGUUCUCUACAUUUUAAACACCAAAGAUCAUUCAAAAGCAGAACUGGAGGCAACACUGCCGAGGGCCACCUUGAGAUGCCUCUCUGCACCUUAGGAAAAAAUGCAACCCAGAUGUUGAACACUAAAGAGGAUGAACCCACAAGGAGGAAAAAGCACCAAAGUUGAUGAGUCCUUGAGACGAUAAGCUGCUUAAAAAACAAAAAAGCCUCACACUGCUGUGGCUUCCCAUAAACAUAGUGGUUUACUGACACAAAGGUAAUCUACACUCCAGAAAUUCUCAGUGCUGUAGUUCCAGCACUAGUAUUAUGAAGAGUUAUGCUCUAGUAAGGAGGCAGUGAAAUUGUGUUCCCUGAAGAAUUUCUCCAAUUCAUUAGGUGUUGUCCCACUCUCUUCUAUCUACCCCCAAGUCCUCAAUCCAAAGACCAGAAACACCAUUCCCUUGGUCAUUUUUCUAACUCUUUAAGUUAUUUUAGCAGAUUUUUAGGGUACAAACACAGUGCUUUUUUGGAUCCAUCAUUUUGGCAAUGCCUUUGCCUUCUUUAGAAGAAAAGUGUCUUCAGUAAAGUGGUACAAAAGAUACUUUGAAAUGAAACAAGAUCUACAAAUCAAUGUAAUUCUGGAUGCUUGCUUUUCAUCCUAUUUUUUGCCAGCUAUCUGAAGUAUGGUUGGAACCACUGCACGUGCAACACUAUUUCUUACAAGCCAUGCUAGCAAGGUUUCCACUGAAAACACCAAUCUGGUCCUGUAGGUUCCAUUUCUAGGAUACAGAGACUCUCAUUUGUGUUUCUUUAACAUGUACAGUAACUUCUCCCAUCCUCUCAAUACAGUAGCUACUAAAAAUUUUAACAGAUAUUAAAAAAAAUAUCCAAAUGAAACCA